rnacentral:misc_RNA from 1 species
UUUCCGUAGGUGAACCUGCGGAAGGAUCAUUAAACAGUAAAGCUGCUCGUCCCGCGACGUUCAACUUGAAAACACACCCCCCGCGUACCUCUCCCCUUUUGCUUCCCCGGGUCCUCUGUCGGUCCCGGGGGAGGUCAGCCGGGAGGCCCGGCUGCCCCCGGCGGCCUGGGUCCGGCGACACCCCUUUGAGUUCCGUCUGGGAUGUCUGAAUUCGACCGAAGAAGUCUCAAAACUUUCAACAACGGAUCUCUUGGUUCUC